ACUACCUUAAAUUAAGGGCGGUACAUUUAGUGAGGUUAUCCUAACUCACUCAUUUGGAAAGUGUUGAAACUUCUUGAAGGAGUCCCAUCUUUUUGUCUUCUUGUGGUUUGUUUGAUAUUCAUUACCCUCUUUCAUCCCCUAUGAUUCCUUUCUCUCCCUCUGACUCCACCCCUCCACCCAGUCCCAGUUCCAUGUCAAAUCUGAAGAAUCUUAAAGGGAACUAUCACAGUCACCAAGGACUUAUCAUCAUCACCAAGAUUGAUCCCAUAUGGUGUCUACAAAGAGGAAGGUUUGUUUAGUUUCUACAAUGGAAGAAACCCCAUCUCAGGUGCUAAUUACAGUUCCAGAACUAAUCUGUCAUUUGUUUCCAAGAUGUUUGAAGAGGUGUCUCACUCCAUUCUUAUCCUUCAAGCUGGCCUCUCAGAAUGUCAGUGGGGAUUUCCAGAAGCUUCAUCUAUUAGCCAUGCAUUGAUCUGGAAUCUGAGUAUUUGCUUCUAAAGUGAUGUGCUGCCAGAGAGGUAGAAAGACACAAAAGGGUAAUCACAGGAAACGCCGGAUUAGGAUGGCUCCGGCCACCCCCUCCAAUGCUAUCCAUAUGGCAUUGGUUCCUGAAGCAUCCUGUCCUCAGCUACAACAUGACAACUAUUAGCAGAGUUUUGAGUGUGUUCCUUUUAAAGAAAGAAGUGCUUUACUGUUUGGUUUCUUCCCAGGAUCUUCAUUGUUUGGCCGACUGUGUUUAGAGAAGCCAGGAAAGCCCAGCUGUAAGAAGGAAGAUUUGUCUGGCUCUCCUAAUUGCUUGUCCAGUUACUGGAGCAUUACAGCUCAUGCCAAUGGCCACACUAUUGAAGAGCCAGCCAGAAAUGGACAUGAAAGGAGAAAGGACACAUAAAAGCAAUUCUGCUCUAGUAAACUGUGUCAUGGCAUUCAAGGAGGGGAAAGGCAAACAACUCAAAAUACAACCUUAAAAUGUGCUCAGCAAGAAACAAACUGCACACUGGGGGCCUCCGGAACUUUGUUUGGAUGCAAAGUUCAGUUAUACGCUCAACUAAUGAGUUACUAGAGCCCAGGC
rnacentral:lncRNA from 1 species